AUCUAGUUGACGAGUCCCAAAUAGGACGAAAUUUGUAUCCUAGAU
rfam:Schistosoma rodhaini strain Burundi genome assembly, scaffold: SROB_scaffold0000127